UACGUAGGGGGCAAGCGUUAUCCGGAUUUACUGGGUGUAAAGGGAGCGCAGACGGCAGUGCAAGUCUGAAGUGAAAGCCCGCGGCCCAACUGCGGGACUGCUUUGGAAACUGCCCGGCUAGAGUGCUGGAGAGGUAAGCGGAAUUCCUAGUGUAGCGGUGAAAUGCGUAGAUAUUAGGAGGAACACCAGUGGCGAAGGCGGCUUACUGGACAGUAACUGACGUUGAGGCUCGAAAGCGUGGGGAGCAAACAGG
rnacentral:rRNA from 1 species